CAGUAGCCGCGGUAAAACAGAGGAUGCAGGCGUUAUCCGGAAUGAUUGGGCGUAAGGCGUGCGCAGGCGGUCCGCUAAGACAGAUGUGAAAUCCCCGGGCUUAACCUGGGAACUGCAUUUGUGACUGGCGGGCUAGAGUAUGGCAGAGGGGGGUAGAAUUCCACGUGUAGCAGUGAAAUGCGUAGAGAUGUGGAGGAAUACCGAUGGCGAAGGCAGCCCCCUGGGCCAAUACUGACGCUCAUACACGAAAGCGUGGGGAGCAAACAGGAUUAGAUACCCCAGUAGUCCCUGUCUCUUAUAA
rnacentral:rRNA from 1 species